AGAGUUUGAUCCUGGCUCAGGACGAACGCUGGCGGCGUGCCUAAUACAUGCAAGUCGAGCGGACCGAACGAGAGCUUGCUCUUGUUCGGUCAGCGGCGGACGGGUGAGUAACACGUGGGCAACCUGCCCGCAAGACCGGGAUAACUCCGGGAAACCGGAGCUAAUACCGGAUAACACCAAAGACCGCAUGGUCUUUGGUUGAAAGGCGGCUUCGGCUGUCACUUGCGGAUGGGCCCGCGGCGCAUUAGCUAGUUGGUGAGGUAACGGCUCACCAAGGCGACGAUGCGUAGCCGGCCUGAGAGGGUGACCGGCCACACUGGGACUGAGACACGGCCCAGACUCCUACGGGAGGCAGCAGUAGGGAAUCUUCCGCAAUGGACGAAAGUCUGACGGAGCGACGCCGCGUGAGCGAAGAAGGCCUUCGGGUCGUAAAGCUCUGUUGUGAGGGACGAAGGAGCGCCGUUUGAAUAAGGCGGCGCGGUGACGGUACCUCACGAGAAAGCCCCGGCUAACUACGUGCCAGCAGCCGCGGUAAUACGUACCGGGGCGAGCGUUGUCCGGAAUUAUUGGGCGU
rnacentral:rRNA from 1 species